rnacentral:rRNA from 1 species
CAGUCGCCACGGGAAUACGUAGGUGGCAAGCGUUGUCCGGAAUUAUUGGGCGUAAAGCGCGCGCAGGCGGAUCAGUCAGUCUGUCUUAAAAGUUCGGGGCUUAACCCCGUGAGGGGAUGGAAACUACUGAUCUAGAGUAUCGGAGAGGAAAGUGGAAUUCCUAGUGUAGCGGUGAAAUGCGUAGAUAUUAGGAAGAACACCAGUGGCGAAGGCGACUUUCUGGACGAAAACUGACGCUGAGGCGCGAAAGCCAGGGGAGCGAACGGGAUUAGAUACCCCAGUAGUCCCUGUCUCUUAUACA